GCAAACUUGGUCAUUUAGAGGAAGUAAAAGUCGUAACAAGGUUUCCGUAGGUGAACCUGCGGAAGGAUCAUUACAAAGUAUCGGCCGGUCAGCGCCGGCAUGGCCGCUGAAGGCACCGGCAGGUGAACCUCCCGGUGUUGACAGUUGACCCUCUGUGUAAAACCCCUUGCGGCUUUAAAGCAGCACCUCCCGCGCUAGGGGGGGAUAUCAGUCUGCCAGCUGUAGCUCCGGAAACCUAUUUUCUAAAAGGAAGCAUUGAUUAAUGUCUGAAGGCACAGUCGAAUGACAUGCAAAAACUUUCAACAACGGAUCUCUUGGUUCUCGCAUCGAUGAAGAACGCAGC
rnacentral:misc_RNA from 1 species